GUGGGGAAUAUUGGACAAUGGGGGGAACCCUGAUCCAGCCAUGCCGCGUGUGUGAAGAAGGCCUUUUGGUUGUAAAGCACUUUAAGCGAGGAGGAGGCUACCGAGAUUAAUACUCUUGGAUAGUGGACGUUACUCGCAGAAUAAGCACCGGCUAACUCUGUGCCAGCAGCCGCGGUAAUACAGAGGGUGCAAGCGUUAAUCGGAUUUACUGGGCGUAACGCGCGCGUAGGUGGCCAAUUAAGUCAAAUGUGAAAUCCCCGAGCUUAACUUGGGAAUUGCAUUCGAUACUGGUUGGCUAGAGUAUGGGAGAGGAUGGUAGAAUUCCAGGUGUAGCGGUGAAAUGCGUAGAGAUCUGGAGGAAUACCGAUGGCGAAGGCAGCCAUCUGGCCUAAUACUGACACUGAGGUGCGAAAGCAUGGGGAGCAAACAGGAUUAGAUACCCCAUAGUCC
rnacentral:rRNA from 1 species